UAAUCUCCACCUUGUGGUUC
rnacentral:siRNA from 1 species